CAGGGCAAUAACGAUAGAAUGCCCAAAUGAAGGGUACUAUACGAUUGAUAUUUACAAUUCAGAACAAGCUCCUUCAA
rnacentral:tRNA from 1 species